GCUACCUCAGGAUGCUCGCCUGUCCAGCCUCAUGUCUCACCCUGGCGCCUCCACGCCUGUGCUAAAGCCGGGUGGUGCCCGCCGCCCUACACUGGGUCACAGGCUCUUCUGGUUCCCACAGCACCUGCGAAGGCUUCUCUCCUAGAACCUAUCUGUGCACUUGUCUGUCCCCUCCCUCGACUCUGGUCUUCUUGAGGACAGGAACUGUGUGUUUUAUUUCUCCAUUUCUGCCUCUAGUCCUGGCUCAUACUAGGUGCUUGCGAAAUAGUGAACGAGUGACUGACUACUUGGUUAAUACAUUGGGAACGAUGUAUUGGUUCUCGUGGGUCAUUCAGCAAAAAUGUUUUGUCCAUUUUUGUGUAAUUCACAGAUGAAGAAACCGAGGCACCCAAAGCUUAAAUCAUUCGCCCUAAGCUUACCACAACCCCUUUCAAAUUAGACUGGACUUGACCAGCCUGACUCAGGGGAAAUGAUCCAUUUCUCCCAAGCCCUCUAUCUUUCUGGAAAAUGUUAAUUAAUUAAUUAACUCCAUAAUUUAAUGCCUACUAUGUAUGAGUCACUGUUCUGUUGAACAAGUACUUCCCUCUUACCCUUGAAGCCAUUGCCAUCAUCCACAUGUGAGACCAGGGAUGACGUCAAAACUGCAACAUCGAUCAGAGAGAUCCCAGAAGGCCCCUAGUCUUGACAAACCUGGCAGAGCCUUGAGCUUUGGGUCCCUGCCCUUUGCUGGGGUCUGGGCCUACAAAGUCUCCGCUGAUCCAUGUGGGAGCCAGAAGCCUGCCCCAGUGCCCUUUCCUCCUCUGUCCCCUGUUGCCAUUGAAGCAUUGGAAGCAGGAGGAGCCUUGUGAUUCCGGAAGUAAAGAGAAAACCCUGGAAAGCAAGAAGAGUCUGGGGGAGCUGACCUGAAGGGCAGAUCCCCAAGGGACCUCCCUCCUUUCUUCCUAAAAAUAAUAUUUUAUAGAACAGCAGGGUCAAGAGGGAUACGAAAGGUCACCGGGGCUUCCGGCUGGAACUGUCGCCAUUUAGAUUUUUUUGGGUCACGAAAUUAUUUCUUUAAAGAGCAAAGUAGGGCAGCCUAGAAGAGUGACAGGAACGCAUUUCAUUUUGGAGUUAGAUACACUCCGAUUCCACUGCAAGCUUCUCCGCUGUCUAGCUCAAUGUCUUAGAGAAAUUAUCCAGUCUCUCUCGGUCUUGUUUUUCUCAUCUAUAAAAUCAGAUAGGGGCUCAGACCAGGGAGGUGACAGUGAGGAGAGGAAUGGUCAGAUCCUGGAAGUAUUUGGGGGUAGAGCCACCAGAAGACUAAGACUUGAUCUCUGUUCCCUGCAAUGACCAUGGCAGUGCUUUGCACAUUAGAGCCCUUCAAGGAUUUGUCGCAUCCAAGGAUUUGUUGAAUGGAUGGGCGACUACUCCAUAAAUCCCCACUACUCUUGCUAGGUACAUUUUAAUCCUCACAACAGUCCCAGGCUGAGAGAGAUUAGGAAACUUGCCAGAGGGCAGCUGUCCUCAAGUGGUGGAACUAAAAUUGGGAGCCAACUGUGCCUGACUCCAAAGCCCAAUGUUACUUAGCUUCACUCAACGCUGGGCACCCAGGGAGGCAUAGGGGGGAGGGGCCUUACAGCCUCAGUAAGACAUGGCUCCUGCCCUCAAAUCUGGUGAGAGACAGAGAAACCAGUAUACAAAUUUAAAAGCAGUGUCUGGCGAAUAACAGGUGCCAAUAAAUACGUUUUAUCUUCGACUGGCUUAAGAGUCUUAACAUUUUGCAGGUAUUUCUGUGGGGCCCAAAGGAGGCACCUAAGUUUGUUGGAUGAAGGGCAAGGAAGAGACUGGAAAAGACUUCAGGAGGCGACAUUUUGGGUGGACCUUGAAGAAUAGGAGUUUGCCAAAAGCCAAGAGGCUUGGGAACCUGGAACAGCAUGAAAGAAUGAAAAGAAAGCUAUCUGAGAAAAUGGGCUUGGAAGAGUUUUGAAAAGUCACGGUGGGGAAUAUUAUUAGUGUUAGUAUUACCCCAGGUACCCCAUGGCGCCAGCCCGAGAUCAGCAGACUAGAGUGUCUGGCUUGACCCCUCGCCACGGGUCUGGCAGCCGACGCCCCGCUCCGCAUUCUCGCACUCUCCAGGUUUGUGUUCACCUCACCUCAGCCCUCCAGGGGGCGGGGCCUGAACGCUCUCUUAAGGACCAUCCCUAGGUGACGUCACUGCAGAGGCGGGGCUCAGGACUGUGGGCAGGGCCCGCUCUAGGGGGCGUGGCCCCACGAAGCUAGUAGCCCCGCCCCAAGAGAGGCCUUGGCCGGAAGUCCUCCCGCCUCCGCUCGCCUCCAUGCUCCCUUCAGUCCCUCCUCUUAACUCCGCGCACAAGGUCAUGUCCCGGAAGUGAAGGGGCCAUGUUGAUGGGUGACCCCGGGAUAGGUACCCGGCGAGAGGCGAAUCCGAAGAAGUGGUAGCGCGCAGUCCGUGGAUAGGACGUGAGGAUUCGCUUUUUCAUUCAGCUUAUUUUUUGAGUUCCUGGUAUUUGACAGGCGCUGUGCUGGGAAAGUUUGUAGAGCACCCAGAAGUGGCCGUACACAUGCUUGACACCCGGCCCCUGCCAGUCCCCCAUGGCCCCAU